CCCUUCUACUCCCCUAUAUAGCACAAAUCAAUUCUCUGUCCCAAUGUAUUGGAUUGUUCUUCCCUCUUUGGGUCAAUUUCAAUGCACAAAAGAGUUGAGUGUAUCCUAUCUCCAACCUCUUAAUCCAUCCAGUGUAUUGAUAUUCUCUAUCCUCCCACUAUAAGCUUCUUAGUGACAUAUAAAUUUACCCCCUUUUGUUUCUUUUCCCAUUUCUUUCAUCUUUUUUGCCUCAUUUUCAAGCUGAUUAAUUUUGGCUUUCAAGACACUAUCUUCUGGUUCCAGAUGACUUAUAUUAGCUUUUAAAUUCUUUUCCCAAUUGCCUUCAAAAUCUUUUAAUUGUGCUUUGAAUUGCAUUUUGAGUUCUUACAAAACCUGUAUCCAAUUCACUGGGAUUUAUGAUUUAUAGUUUCCCGAUCCCUCCCCCUCUGUUCUGUUCUCUGUAUAGAAGCUGUCUAUUGUCAUUUCAUUCUUUUUCUGUUGUUUGCUCAUAUUCACCCCUUCUUUGCUCCCCAUAUUUGCCUGUGCUCAUGCUCCACUCAUUUUUUUGGUUUUGGGGGCUUCUGUCCAUCUCCUCUCUUGGAGCUUUGACACAAGAUCUCUCUGUGGAGUCUGUGGGGGAGAUUUGUUGGGAUUUAAGCUUUCCUGUCCUCUGGAGGCUUUUGAUCAAUUUAAAGUCCAGCAGUCAAUGAGGGAGGGGUGUGGAGCCUGGGUUUCCUUGAGUUCUGAAGACUUUUGAUGGGAUUAAGUUCAGCUGAGAUGGGGUGGGUGUGCUCUGAGGCCAAAAGCUCCUGGAAGCCUGCAAAUAUGGAGGAUAUUCAGAGUUCUGAACAGGCUAACAGGCUGGCACCUCUAUGCUCCCUCUCCAGCUCCUUCGGGAAGGGAUCCUGGGGAUUCUGUCUACCUUUCCCUUAUAAACCCAAGUGUUCUUGGAUUCCGGCUUUUGGGGGGGGGCUCCCUUUUAAAUUAAGUGCAGCAGGAGGUUUCCUUGGCUCUGUCUUUUUGGUAGGUUUGAUUUUCAGUCGCCUAGGAGAAUUCACUUUGUGAUCCGUAAGGAAGAAUAUUCAGAGGUCUGAAUUUCUGCUCCCUCUAGGCCACCAUCUUUACUCUGACUCUCUGAACCUCCAAUCGUAAGACAUGAUUCUCUAUACACUGAGCCAAUCAGUUAACCUUCUGAGACUUCUUCCAAAAUUGGCUGAUCAUUGCAGAAACAUGGAGAAGGACAAGAAGAGAAAAGACAUAAAUCUCUACAACAGAAAGAAGAAAAAUGUCUUAUGGAAACAAUAACUUGGUGAGCUUGAAGCUGAUUCCUAGAAUACUUCUCUGAAGGGAAUUGUAGUUUUUCCUUCCCUCCCCCUUUACCUUCCAUCUUACAAUCAAUGAUGUGUAUUGAUUCUAAGACAGCAGAAUGGUCAGGCCUGGGCAAUGGGGGUAAAGUGAUUUGCCCAGGGUCACACAGCUAGGAAGGGUCUGAAAUCAGAUUAGAAUGUGGGACUCGAUUGAGAAGUACUCCUUGGGAAAGAUCAGAGGAGACAGAGUUUUAGCCUUUCCCACCCAAGUUGGGUUCAGGUCUCAGAGAGAGCACUAGCCCAGAGGCAGUUAGUUGAAACAAAUCAGGAAGCAAAGAGCCCCAUUCCUCUUCCCCCACUAGCUUUGCAAACUAAAUCUCCUCCUCCCUGGGGAUGCUUUCCUUGAACAAUGGAAUUUUGGUAUUAAUCUCCACCAGAACUGUUCCUCCCCACCCUCCCAAAAUCCCAGAGUUGGGCCAUCAGACACAGGACGACUCUGAUUCCUAAGCGGUAUUCAAGCUGGGAUGGAGGUCCCCUCAUGAUUUUCCUCCAACCUUCACCAAUGCCCUGGAUUUAGCUCUCCCAUUGGCUACGGGUGUCACGUGCAAUGAGAACCUUUUGUCCGGCCAAUGUUUUUCCCCCUCUCCCACAAAAGGAAGUGUUUGUAUUAGAGGAUAUCUUCCAAGCCCUUUACCACCACCAAUCCUGCAGCUGCCAGGCUGGGGGGACGGAGUGGUGCCCGAAUGCACGAGUAGGAG
ensembl:lncRNA